rnacentral:rRNA from 1 species
AUACGUAGGGGGCGAGCGUUGUCCGGAUUUAUUGGGCGUAAAGGGUGCGUAGGCGGCCUUGUAAGUCAGAUGUGAAAGAUCAUGGCUUAACUGUGGUAAGCAUUUGAAACUGCAGGGCUUGAGUACAGGAGAGGAGAGUGGAAUUCCUAGUGUAGCGGUGAAAUGCGUAGGUAUUAGGAGGAAUACCAGUGGCGAAGGCGACUCUCUGGACUGAUACUUACGCUGAGGCACGAAAGCGUGGGGAGCAAACAGGAUUAGAUGCCAUGGUAGUCCACGCUAUAAACGAUGAGUGCUAGGUUUCGGGGGUCAAACCUCGGUGCCGCAGUUAACACAUUAAGCACUCCGCCUGGGGAGUACGGCCGCAAGGCUGAAACUCACAUGAAUUGACGGGG